rnacentral:rRNA from 1 species
GGGUUGUGAGGUUAAGCGACUAAGCGUACACGGUGGAUGCCCUGGCAGUCAGAGGCGAUGAAGGACGUGCUAAUCUGCGAUAAGCGUCGGUAAGGUGAUAUGAACCGUUAUAACCGGCGAUUUCCGAAUGGGGAAACCCAGUGUGUUUCGACACACUAUCAUUAACUGAAUCCAUAGGUUAAUGAGGCGAACCGGGGGAACUGAAACAUCUAAGUACCCCGAGGAAAAGAAAUCAACCGAGAUUCCCCCAGUAGCGGCGAGCGAACGGGGAGCAGCCCAGAGCCUGAAUCAGUGUGUGUGUUAGUGGAAGCGUCUGGAAAGGCGCGCGAUACAGGGUGACAGCCCCGUACACAAAAAUGCACAUGCUGUGAGCUCGAUGAGUAGGGCGGGACACGUGGUAUCCUGUCUGAAUAUGGGGGGACCAUCCUCCAAGGCUAAAUACUCCUGACUGACCGAUAGUGAACCAGUACCGUGAGGGAAAGGCGAAAAGAACCCCGGCGAGGGGAGUGAAAAAGAACCUGAAACCGUGUACGUACAAGCAGUGGGAGCACGCUUAGGCGUGUGACUGCGUACCUUUUGUAUAAUGGGUCAGCGACUUAUAUUCUGUAGCAAGGUUAACCGAAUAGGGGAGCCGAAGGGAAACCGAGUCUUAACUGGGCGUUAAGUUGCAGGGUAUAGACCCGAAACCCGGUGAUCUAGCCAUGGGCAGGUUGAAGGUUGGGUAACACUAACUGGAGGACCGAACCGACUAAUGUUGAAAAAUUAGCGGAUGACUUGUGGCUGGGGGUGAAAGGCCAAUCAAACCGGGAGAUAGCUGGUUCUCCCCGAAAGCUAUUUAGGUAGCGCCUCGUGAAUUCAUCUCCGGGGGUAGAGCACUGUUUCGGCAAGGGGGUCAUCCCGACUUACCAACCCGAUGCAAACUGCGAAUACCGGAGAAUGUUAUCACGGGAGACACACGGCGGGUGCUAACGUCCGUCGUGAAGAGGGAAACAACCCAGACCGCCAGCUAAGGUCCCAAAGUCAUGGUUAAGUGGGAAACGAUGUGGGAAGGCCCAGACAGCCAGGAUGUUGGCUUAGAAGCAGCCAUCAUUUAAAGAAAGCGUAAUAGCUCACUGGUCGAGUCGGCCUGCGCGGAAGAUGUAACGGGGCUAAACCAUGCACCGAAGCUGCGGCAGCGACACUAUGUGUUGUUGGGUAGGGGAGCGUUCUGUAAGCCUGUGAAGGUGUGCUGUGAGGCAUGCUGGAGGUAUCAGAAGUGCGAAUGCUGACAUAAGUAACGAUAAAGCGGGUGAAAAGCCCGCUCGCCGGAAGACCAAGGGUUCCUGUCCAACGUUAAUCGGGGCAGGGUGAGUCGACCCCUAAGGCGAGGCCGAAAGGCGUAGUCGAUGGGAAACAGGUUAAUAUUCCUGUACUUGGUGUUACUGCGAAGGGGGGACGGAGAAGGCUAUGUUGGCCGGGCGACGGUUGUCCCGGUUUAAGCGUGUAGGCUGGUUUUCCAGGCAAAUCCGGAAAAUCAAGGCUGAGGCGUGAUGACGAGGCACUACGGUGCUGAAGCAACAAAUGCCCUGCUUCCAGGAAAAGCCUCUAAGCAUCAGGUAACAUCAAAUCGUACCCCAAACCGACACAGGUGGUCAGGUAGAGAAUACCAAGGCGCUUGAGAGAACUCGGGUGAAGGAACUAGGCAAAAUGGUGCCGUAACUUCGGGAGAAGGCACGCUGAUAUGUAGGUGAGGUCCCUCGCGGAUGGAGCUGAAAUCAGUCGAAGAUACCAGCUGGCUGCAACUGUUUAUUAAAAACACAGCACUGUGCAAACACGAAAGUGGACGUAUACGGUGUGACGCCUGCCCGGUGCCGGAAGGUUAAUUGAUGGGGUUAGCGCAAGCGAAGCUCUUGAUCGAAGCCCCGGUAAACGGCGGCCGUAACUAUAACGGUCCUAAGGUAGCGAAAUUCCUUGUCGGGUAAGUUCCGACCUGCACGAAUGGCGUAAUGAUGGCCAGGCUGUCUCCACCCGAGACUCAGUGAAAUUGAACUCGCUGUGAAGAUGCAGUGUACCCGCGGCAAGACGGAAAGACCCCGUGAACCUUUACUAUAGCUUGACACUGAACAUUGAGCCUUGAUGUGUAGGAUAGGUGGGAGGCUUUGAAGUGUGGACGCCAGUCUGCAUGGAGCCGACCUUGAAAUACCACCCUUUAAUGUUUGAUGUUCUAACGUUGACCCGUAAUCCGGGUUGCGGACAGUGUCUGGUGGGUAGUUUGACUGGGGCGGUCUCCUCCUAAAGAGUAACGGAGGAGCACGAAGGUUGGCUAAUCCUGGUCGGACAUCAGGAGGUUAGUGCAAUGGCAUAAGCCAGCUUGACUGCGAGCGUGACGGCGCGAGCAGGUGCGAAAGCAGGUCAUAGUGAUCCGGUGGUUCUGAAUGGAAGGGCCAUCGCUCAACGGAUAAAAGGUACUCCGGGGAUAACAGGCUGAUACCGCCCAAGAGUUCAUAUCGACGGCGGUGUUUGGCACCUCGAUGUCGGCUCAUCACAUCCUGGGGCUGAAGUAGGUCCCAAGGGUAUGGCUGUUCGCCAUUUAAAGUGGUACGCGAGCUGGGUUUAGAACGUCGUGAGACAGUUCGGUCCCUAUCUGCCGUGGGCGCUGGAGAACUGAGGGGGGCUGCUCCUAGUACGAGAGGACCGGAGUGGACGCAUCACUGGUGUUCGGGUUGUCAUGCCAAUGGCACUGCCCGGUAGCUAAAUGCGGAAGAGAUAAGUGCUGAAAGCAUCUAAGCACGAAACUUGCCCCGAGAUGAGUUCUCCCUGACUCCUUGAGAGUCCUGAAGGAACGUUGAAGACGACGACGUUGAUAGGCCGGGUGUGUAAGCGCAGCGAUGCGUUGAGCUAACCGGUACUAAUGAACCGUGAGGCUUAACCUUACAACGCCGAAGCUGUU